rnacentral:lncRNA from 1 species
UGAUCAUAACGGUGAAAAAAUCACAUCAAACGGAAAUCCGAAAGGGGCUCAUCGGAGGCAAAAAUUGAGACACCCCACGGUGGCACCGUUGGGCUUCAGCGGCGUUUUCCGGCCAAUUGGCCAGUGCUUUCGCUUUGAUUUGGCCAUAAGUGGGUUUAGAAUCAAAUUCUGAGCAAAGGGUAGAAUUUUUACCUCAUUUGACGGUCGAAAAUUGCUCCGGUACGGCGGCGGGUAGUGGUGGUCGGCUCCCCAGCGGCU